rnacentral:tRNA from 1 species
GCUCCGAUCAUCUAGUCCGGUCAAGGAUGCAGGCCUCUCAAGCCUGAAACCCGGGUUCAAAUCCCGGUCGGAGCA